rnacentral:lncRNA from 1 species
CGACCCCCGCUCCGGACCUCACUCCUCCAGGGAGGGCUGCGUACCUUAGGGUGGCUUUUUCCUCUCCAGCAGGAAUUUCUUCCUCUUCUGCAUUAGUCAGGACUGUCCCUUGUUGUGGUUUUUUUUUUUUUUUUAUCCAGUUUUCAGUUUUCUAUCCAGGGUGCUGUCACUGUCUUCUUCACCAUUGCUUCUUCGGCAAAACCUGGGAGAGAACAAAAGGCAUUCAGUAAAUAAUGUUUGAACGAAUGAUGCCUACUCGCACACCUCUGAAUAGCUGGAAUGAAGACAAGCACGAGAUGAUUGAGACAAGAAAUCUGUCCUCAGAAUCCAGGGCCAAACACCAGCAAGCCACCAACAGAAGAUUUCCAGAAAGACUGAAAUUGCUCCCAGGGGAACCACUAAUGGGUCUGGAAGACAAAGAAGAGGCGUUAGUUCAGGAAGCCACUGUUCCAAUGGCUACUCCAAUACCUCGUUCAUCAAGCUGCUCCAUUGAUGAAGUGGCCCCCUGCAGUGUGGGAGACACUUCCUGUAAGGGAAGAUUCACAUCCCUGAGGGGUCCUCUGAGCCAAGGGUGGUGAUGAGGUGGCUGGGAGGGUGCUUAAAGGAGAAUGAAUACACCACACUAACAAGGAGAAGUGCUAAGCCUGCCUUCGUUGCAAGUUUGCACAAAAGCAUUCCUCGUCAACUGGGCUCCAGAUGUCUCUGAAUGAAGCUUUUGCCAACUGACAACUGGGUUUCUUAACUGUGUUCCAAUAAUCCACAUAUAUGUUUGUGAGUUGCCUGGAAAUUUACUGUUGUUCUAAAUUAAAUAGAGAACAAGAUUGUAUUAAUUAUACGCAACAAUCAACCAAGUCUAAGAGCUGAAGUCUUUAAGUUUGUUCUUUGAAGCAUAUUCCUGGUUUAUUAAAAGGAAAUGAAAGUAAGGAAAUGAUGAAACCACUCAGUGCUUGAAAACUCUGGAUCCCGGUUAGAACUGUCCUUUGAACGCUGUUAAAUUAGUCGUUACUGAGAGGCAGCUGUGCCCUCGAUAGUGACCGUAAGUAAACCUCUGAUUUGGGAGUCUUUUUUAACCCUGAUGUGGUUCUCAGAGUGUGUGAGAAAAUUCUGAGGAUUGACAUUUGGAAAGAAGGAAAGUGACACUCUGUAGCCUGAGUAAAUCACUUCCAAUGACCAGUGAGAAUUAGAGACAAGAGCUGUAACAAAAGGUACAAGGAACGAGAGGAUCCUAGGUGAAAAAGAAACAUAUAAUUCUAUCAAAAUGGUCUAGAGGGACGUGCUACAGAGGCCCAUUCACCGGGCAAUCACUUUUUGCAACAGAUCUGGGAGAGAGGAAUGGCAAAGCUUACAUGGACUGAAAUUCACCUCAGACCCCUCUUCAGCUCUUCUUUAUCUGUAUUUCCCUGAUAGUGUGCAAAAAGAGAUGCCGGAGUAUGAUUUUCCAUUCCCCAUUGUUGGUUAAAUCAGAGUGUCUCAUGUGGGGAGCACUAGCACUAAGCAUUUUUUGGUUGAGAAGAAAGGAGGCAAAGGUUAUCGAGGAAAAUCUCCAAAGAACAUGGAACUGGAAUUCAGGAAAUUAACUUGCUUUCUCCGUAACGAGCAGCCUUCCCUCUCACUCUGCGGCCAAAUCUGUCUCCUGCUUUCUCAACGUUGUCAGAUUCCCCAGUGAAAAAUGAGAAUCAUUCUUACCAUAUAUCUCAUCUUUUUGAGUCAAAUAAAGGUUCAAUAUA